GUUCAACUCCUUCCCUUGCUA
rnacentral:tRNA from 1 species